AUUGAACGCUGGCGGCAUGCCUUACACAUGCAAGUCGAACGGCAGCACGGGUGCUUGCACCUGGUGGCGAGUGGCGAACGGGUGAGUAAUACAUCGGAACGUACCUUAUCGUGGGGGAUAACGCAGCGAAAGCUGUGCUAAUACCGCAUACGCCCUGAGGGGGAAAGCGGGGGAUCGCAAGACCUCGCGCGAUUAGAGCGGCCGAUGCCUGAUUAGCUAGUUGGUGGGGUAAAAGCACAGCAAGGCGACGAUCAGUAGCUGGUCGGAGAGGACGAGCAGCCCCAAUGGACCUGAGACACGGCCCAGACUCCUAGGGGAGGCAGCAGUGGGUAAUUUUGGACAAUGGGGGCAACCCUGAUCCAGCAAUUCCGCGUGAGUGAAGAAGGCCUUCGGGUUGUAAAGCUCUUUUGUCAGGGAAGAAACACCGGCUCUAACACAGUCCGGGAAUGACGGUACCUGAAGAAUAAGCACCGGCUAACUACGUGCCAGCCGCCGCAGUAA
rnacentral:rRNA from 1 species